GAGGGGAACCAGAAUGUGGCCCUAAUCGGCGGUCUGUAGAUGGUGGCCAGACAGUUGCAGGCAAUAAAAUUGUGGAUUCCAGACUUCAUUUUUAGAGUGGAUAGGGUGAAGACGGCUGUGGUUUGGGUCCGGAUUCCCUGCUUUUUGUUGGAAUAUUAGGAGAGGGCGUCGAUUUUGGAGUCAUGCGAAGGAAGAUAAGCCUUCCUUCGGGCGAAAGCCCCCUCAUUAUCACCUUAUCUUCUGUCAAGAAAUUAAACCUUUGCUUUGUUCAUAAAAGCAAUUAUCAUUGCACGGAGAUUCGUCGAUGGGCUUUUCCGUAAUUCCCUGGAACGGGAGGGGCAUCGUUCCCUCACCCAGGCGGCCAGGCCGCCGCCGUAGCCAGAAGCUAGAGACGUACACGAGGGUCUAAUCGACGCGUACCGCGUAGGAACCGCACCGGACCAAUCACAUGUCGGUAGUCUACUUUACACGUGUACCAUGGGUCGAUCAUAAACUAUUCACCGUAGUGCCCUGGCCUAUCAGGAACGUACAUGAGUGAUCCAACGGCUACAACCAAUGAGCCUUUCUUUACUAGCUGUCAAACUCCAACUGUCAUGAUCCGCAAACGAUUACCCUUGCAACGGCAGCAGAGCCACGAAACAAACCCCAUGACUCUUACUCGGCUUUGCUCUACUUUGACAGCCUUUAUGAAAGAACAGCAGUUCAUCUCCCCCACGAGGGCAACCUGAUUAUCGAGCAAAUUCGAAGUCAGAAAAAUGCUACAAAGGAACAACCGUUGUAUCAUGAUAUUUACAGAUUUUUGAAAGGAUAUGGCUUCUAUACAGUCACACAUGUCUAUAAAAAGAAAAAUGACGCGAUCGACUGGAUUGCGUUCUUUGCUACUCUAGAAG
rnacentral:lncRNA from 1 species